rnacentral:misc_RNA from 1 species
AAGAUAAAUUUGGUAGCAACUCUCAGAAAAACAAAAUCUCUGUUUAGGUGCUGAUAAAUAGAGAUCAUCUGAAAAAGCCAAACAAUUACAAGCAAGUCUUGCAACAACUACAUGGUACAAAAACAGUUCCGUGCAUCAGAUAUCUAAAAUUCAUAAUAGUAACAAAAGAUUACCCUUGUCUGUUCUGUAGAGAAAUUCAGUAACAGUGACGGAGAUGUAACUUUUAAUUAUCGGCAACUUUCACCAUCAAGCCACUUUAGUGAUGGUAAUAGCUUAAUUAGAAGUGAUUGUAUCUUUUCAUCGGAAACUGCAUUUCCUUUAAGAUCUAAUUGUAUCAAGUUCAAGUCUUUAAAAAUAGCAUAGGCUUCCCAAUUAUCAGCCACCUCAACGCAAUGGAUCUCAGAUUCCUCAGUUUUCCAGUCACCUCCACUUCUAUGGUUAAGAGGGGAAGAGCACAAAUACCUCCUCGUGUCAAUAGAAUGCGCUCCAAUCUCGUUGUAAGAGAUAUCUAAGACUUUCAGUGACCUUAGCAGUUUCAAAGGCUCCAAUGCAGUAAAACUGCAGAGUUUAUUGUAGCUAACAUUCAAGCAGGAGAGAAGUUGCAUCACCUCCAAGCCUUCAAGUGUCUUAAGUUGGUUGUGGCUGAGAUCUAAUACUUGGACCCACAAAAGUUG